GACGAACCGAGCGAACGUUGUUCGGAAUCACUGGGCUUAAAGGGCGCGUAGGCGGGUGCUCAAGUCUGUGGUGAAAUCCUCCGGCUCAACCGGAGAACGGCCAUGGAUACUGGGUGUCUCGAGGGUGAUAGGGGUAUGCGGAACUAUCGGUGGAGCGGUGAAAUGCUUAGAUAUGACAUAGAACACCAAUUGCGAAGGCAGCUCACUACACGGUCAUUGACACUGAGGCACGAAAGCGUGGGGAUCAAACAGG
rnacentral:rRNA from 1 species